UGUAGUCAUUUUCUGGGAGAGGAGAGAAUAGGAUGUAAGAUCUCAUGAAGCAGAAUAAGUCCUGAGUUUCUAGACCUAGAAAAAGGGUAAAUCCUACAGAAGUUGUGAGAAAAGAAAAUCUAUCUGGACUAUUUAGGAAUAAAUCUGGGGAAACAGCAGCAAGGGGUAGGAUGGUGCAGAUCUUGAGUGCUUGUUAUAGGGUUCCUGGCCUCUAAUCUAGUGUAGAGGGUAGGCCUGGCUUCCCCUAAUAGCCAGUGAGAAGUGAUACAAGAGUGGAGAUGCCAAAUGGACAGCUGCUCUGGAGAGAUUUUGUUACUCAAAGGCAUUUAAUAUACUUAGAUGCCACUGAACGAUGAAGGAACAAAGCAAGAAGCUGGAGAUGUUUCCAGAAUACCAUAGUAAAGAGCUGAGUGAUCUAUCUUUUGUUUAAAAUUUACAGGAGUGCCCAGAGGCAUCAAUCAAGACUGAAGCCCUGUUAGGUGCAUAGGAAAACACACUCCCAAACCCUAGAGAUCUUACAGUCAAAGAUCAAGAUUUAGAGUUUAACUGAAUUUAAGAUUAAGAUAAUAA